GACGAACGCUGGCGGCGUGCUUAACACAUGCAAGUCGAACGGGACCAGUAGCAAUAUUGGUCUAGUGGCGAACGGGUGAGUAACACGUGACCAAUCUGCCUCGGACUGUGGGAUAACGAUGGGAAACUGUCGCUAAUACCGCAUGUUGAGUCGGGCUCGCAUGGGCCUGGCUUGAAAGAUUUAUCGGUCCGAGAUGAGGUCGCGCCCCAUUAGCUUGUUGGCGAGGUAACGGCUCACCAAGGCGACGAUGGGUAGCUGGUCUGAGAGGAUGAUCAGCCACACUGGGACUGAGAUACGGCCCAGACUCCUAUGGGAGGCAGCAGUGAGGAAUAUUGCGCAAUGGACGAAAGUCUGACGCAGCAACGCCGCGUGAGGGAUGAAGGUGCUUUGCAUUGUAAACCUCUGUAGGGGGGGACGAACAGACUGGUUUUGCCGGUCCUGAC
rnacentral:rRNA from 1 species